GAGAGGCAGUACCCCGAGUUUCCCUGGAGUGGCGUCCAGGCGGAGAUCUUCCAGGCCUUCCGGGAGCUAUUCCAGGCGGCUUGCGCCCGGCCGCCGCCGCUGGGCCUCUGUCACUACCCCUCGUCCCGGGCCGUGUACGCCGUGGACCUCAUGCUCAAGUGGGCCAGCCGUCUAGACGGGACCCCGGCCGUGCAGCCCCAGAUCCUGGAGGUGAACUUCAACCCCGACUGCGAGCGGGCCUGCAAGUACCACCCCGACUUCUUCAACGACGUCUUCAGCACCCUGUACCUGGAUGAGCCCGGCGGCCACCACGUCACCGCCCUCAUCUAGGCCCCCGGGCCCCUCCUGGCCCUGCCCCCGCCCCCCAGCGCAGCGUCUCCCCCCUCGUGGGCCGGAAGCAGGGACGGUCACGUGUCGGGGCUGAGGGCCGGCCCCGUCCACUCUCCCUCGCCGCUGUCUGCCGGCCCCGGGUCAGCU